UGAAUAAACAGAAGACCAACGGAUUUUCAGUUAACGGCAGUGACUGCUAUAGUUUUAAUAAUCACUUCAGUUACGAUUCAAAGACUUCAUUUUUGAUCACAAAUKGACAGUAAAAAGCUCACAAGAGGACUCGUGUUUUUGGCAGCUUGCUUUGUAUCAUCGAUAGCACUGGAUCGAUGUCUGAAAACCCAUGGAGACCAGCCAUGUAUAACAACGGGAAAAUUACCCAUCACACUAGAGUGCAGAUAUCCUGGCCAAUGGUUUGCUGUUAAGAAAACCGAAAUCCAAGCACGMACAGGAAACUGGGUAGCGGUUUCUGAGGAAAAGACCGCUGACUCACAGUGUAAGAAUACCAAGGUUAAGACAAGGCCUAAGAACUACAAGUGUGAUGUCUCUCGUUUGGGCUCUCAGGGUACUUCAGGUGUAAAUGCCAGGAUCACUUACUAUUGCUGGGAGUUUGAUCCCAGUAUUCUUGGCGGCUUUGGGAGAAAGAGAACAUUGUUUCCACCUCCAAUCCCCAUUGAUACAUAUGAAGACAUCRAGGAUUAGCAAAUCCCUCAAGCUACCUUAUUCCCGCAAGCCCACAACAUAGUUAACGACUAAAUUUAGUAAAAA